rnacentral:rRNA from 1 species
UACGUAGGGCGCAAGCGUUAUCCGGAAUUAUUGGGCGUAAAGAGCUCGUAGGCGGUUCGAUAAGUCGGACGUGAAAUCUCCACGCUCAACGUGGAGGGGCCGUUCGAUACUGUCGUGACUCGAGUCCGGGAGAGGUGAGUGGAACUGCGAGUGUAGAGGUGAAAUUCGUAGAUAUUCGCAAGAACACCAGUGGCGAAGGCGGCUCACUGGCCCGGUACUGACGCUGAGGUGCGAAAGCGUGGGGAGCAAACAGG